UACGUAGGGUGCAAGCGUUAAUCGGAAUUACUGGGCGUAAAGCGUGCGCAGGCGGCUUUGCAAGACAGACGUGAAAUCCCCAGGCUCAACCUGGGAACUGCGUCUGAUACUGGAUGGCUUGAAUUCGGGAGAGGGAUGCAGAAUUCCAGGUGUAGCGGUGAAAUGCGUAGAUAUCUGGAGGAAUACCGGUGGCGAAGGCGGCAUCCUGGACCGACAUUGACGCUGAGGAGCGAAAGCUAGGGGAGCAAACGGG
rnacentral:rRNA from 1 species